ACAAGACCGACAACAGCUCUCAAGGCUCAACAAGGGAGAAGUGUAGAAAAAUUGAGUUAGUGAUAAAAAAAAACCUGUUGUCACUACAAACUCUGAGAGGAAGUUCAUGCCACUUUUAGUUGACUUUUCUCUGCGAUGCCUUCUUGUGGGGGUCUUUAGACCUUUGGCUCUCAAGUUCCUUUGCCCAAAGUACUAGCAUUCUAUACUGGAUUGGGGGAGGGGGAGGGGUGUUCCUUACAUGCUAAUGACAUGCAUUCUUGUUGUACCAUUUGUUAAGAUACCACAUGGGGUGUUGAACUUGUUAUCAACGUUUAGGCAUUUUACUUUGUCUUUCAUUGGUUAUAUGCGAUGUUACAUUAUCUAAAUAUGUUAAUAAUUCAGUUCUAAGGAUGAUGUCUUUUUAUUGUUACAGUAGAUUUAUCAGGAAGUGGAAACAGAACAACAUUUGGCAGGUCAGAUCCCCUCAAAGAAGCCCAGCCACAGGAUGACCUUAAAAAAGCCGCUCGGCAAGAGUACCAGGAGUACCUUCGAAAACAGGUUGAAGAGAAAGAGAAAAAGAAAAAAGAAGAACUUGAGAGAACCAAAAGGGAAGACGAGGAAUUGGAAAAGAGAAUAACUGAAGAGAGAAUGAAAAUGCAGAAAGAUUUUGAAGAAGAGCAAGAAAAAAGUAGAAGAAAAGAAGAAGAGGUACAAUGUUCUAUUAAUUAAAUGCAUCAUUACUCACCCUACUUCCCCUUAAGAUUUUUUUUUUUUCAUGAUGUGUUCAUGCUUGAAUGCAACAAAGGGAACGUGGACCACUGUAUGGCUAUGAUAUCAGUGUCAAAUAGAGACAUAAAUUAUAGCGCUUGGGCUUAUGUUGGGUCUAGUUCCCAUCUAAAACCUUCAGGUAAUUGAUACAGUGGAACCUUGUUAAUCUGGCCACCAAUAGGCCACAAAAAUCUGGCUGUAUUAACAGGGUGGCCAUAUAAAAGGGGUCUUUAAAUGCUUAAAUGACUGACUGAGCUUUUCUUCAGGUCAGAAUAAAGUGGCUGUAAUGACAUGGUGGCCGUAUUAAUGGGGUGACCAUUAGGCAGGGUUCCACUGUAUUUAAAAUUGUAAUAGAUGUGUACCUUGUAAUUUAUAACCCUUUAGCACAUCCUGAUUUUCUGUGGUAUAUUUUUCAUAGGCAAGGCUUAAGAAUGAACAGAUUAAGGAAGCUCAAGAAGCAAAGAAAAGGGAAGCAGAGAAGAAAAAGAAGGAAAUGGAAGAACAAAGGCAAACUGAGCUGAAGAGAAAACUUGAUGCUGAAAUGGCUGCUAAGAAAGCCGCUACAAGUCAAGUGAGCUUCAGAGAAUAGUGUGAUAUAUGUAUAUUGCUCCAGAAAAUAUCGCUACCCCUCCCAUGGGAGGCUUUUUGUUUUGAUACCCCCCUUCUCACCCAACCACCCCUCAUCCAGGAGGGUAUGGAUAUUUUCUGGAACGGCAGAAGUGGACAGACUGGAGUACAAUUUAGGGAGUAUUCAGGCAAGUUAUUUCUGGUUGAAAUCACCAGUGUGAUUUCUCUCAGAUUCUGGUCCAGUUGCUAAAUACAUUGCCCCAGUUAACAAAAUUUGAAGUUAGAAAUUGUAUUGGAAUUUUUUUAGUGCACUAUUUCCAUUUGUUACAACAAGUUAAUUUAUAGGUAGAUUAAACUGGACAGUUGCACACCAUCAGUAGCAAUCAUGUAACGCAAAAUGAAUCAAAUUAUGCUCUGACAGACUGAGGGACUCGGUUAACAAAACUUGUAGUUCCCUUUCCGAGAACUAACUACAUGAAAAAUAGUUUUAGUUACAGCAGUGCAACCCUUU
rnacentral:lncRNA from 1 species